AGCUUGCUCCCUGAUGUUAGCGGCGGACGGGUGAGUAACACGUGGGUAACCUGCCUGUAAGACUGGGAUAACUCCGGGAAACCGGGGCUAAUACCGGAUGGUUGUUUGAACCGCAUGGUUCAAACAUAAAAGGUGGCUUCGGCUACCACUUACAGAUGGACCCGCGGCGCAUUAGCUAGUUGGUGAGGUAACGGCUCACCAAGGCAACGAUGCGUACCCAACCUGAGAGGGUGAUCGGCCACACUGGGACUGAGACACGGCCCAGACUCCUACGGGAGGCAGCAGUAGGGAAUCUUCCGCAAUGGACGAAAGUCUGACGGAGCAACGCCGCGUGAGUGAUGAAGGUUUUCGGAUCGUAAAGCUCUGUUGUUAGGGAAGAACAAGUACCGUUCGAAUAGGGCGGUACCUUGACGGUACCUAACCAGAAAGCCACGGCUAACUACGUGCCAGCAGCCGCGGUAAUACGUAGGUGGCAAGCGUUGUCCGGAAUUAUUGGGCGUAAAGGGCUCGCAGGCGGUUUCUUAAGUCUGAUGUGAAAGCCCCCGGCUCAACCGGGGAGGGUCAUUGGAAACUGGGGAACUUGAGUGCAGAAGAGGAGAGUGGAAUUCCACGUGUAGCGGUGAAAUGCGUAGAGAUGUGGAGGAACACCAGUGGCGAAGGCGACUCUCUGGUCUGUAACUGACGCUGAGGAGCGAAAGCGUGGGGAGCGAACAGGAUUAGAUACCCUGGUAGUCCACGCCGUAACGAUGAGUGCUAAGUGUUAGGGGGUUUCCGCCCCUUAGUGCUGCAGCUAAC
rnacentral:rRNA from 1 species